rnacentral:rRNA from 1 species
GACGAACGCUGGCGGCGUGCCUAAUACAUGCAAGUAGAACGCACAGUUUAUACCGUAGCUUGCUACACCAUAGACUGUGAGUUGCGAACGGGUGAGUAACGCGUAGGUAACCUGCCUGGUAGCGGGGGAUAACUAUUGGAAACGAUAGCUAAUACCGCAUAAUAUUAAUUAUUGCAUGAUAAUUAAUUGAAAGGUGCAAUUGCACCACUACCAGAUGGACCUGCGUUGUAUUAGCUAGUAGGUGAGGUAACGGCUCACCUAGGCGACGAUACAUAGCCGACCUGAGAGGGUGAUCGGCCACACUGGGACUGAGACACGGCCCAGACGCCUACGGGAGGCAGCAGUAGGGAAUCUUCGGCAAUGGACGAAAGUCUGACCGAGCAACGCCGCGUGAGUGAAGAAGGUUGUCGGAUCGUAAAGCUCGGUUGUAAGAGAAGAACGGGUGUGAGAGUGGAAAGUUCACACUGUGACGGUAGCUGACCAGAAAGGGACGGCUAACUACGUG